AAUCCAUAGGUUAAUGAGGCGAACCGGGGGAACUGAAACAUCUAAGUACCCCGAGGAAAAGAAAUCAACCGAGAUUCCCCCAGUAGCGGCGAGCGAACGGGGAGGAGCCCAGAGCCUGAAUCAGCAUGUGUGUUAGUGGAAGCGUCUGGAAAGGCGCGCGAUACAGGGUGACAGCCCCGUACACAAAAGCGCAUGUGCUGUGAGCUCGAUGAGUAGGGCGGGACACGUGGUAUCCUGUCUGAAUAUGGGGGGACCAUCCUCCAAGGCUAAAUACUCCUGACUGACCGAUAGUGAACCAGUACCGUGAGGGAAAGGCGAAAAGAACCCCGGCGAGGGGAGUGAAAAAGAACCUGAAACCGUGUACGUACAAGCAGUGGGAGCACCCUUUGGGUGUGACUGCGUACCUUUUGUAUAAUGGGUCAGCGACUUAUAUUCUGUAGCAAGGUUAACCGAAUAGGGGAGCCGGAGGGAAACCGAGUCUUAACCGGGCGUUAAGUUGCAGGGUAUAGACCCGAAACCCGGUGAUCUAGCCAUGGGCAGGUUGAAGGUUGGGUAACACUAACUGGAGGACCGAACCGACUAAUGUUGAAAAAUUAGCGGAUGACCUGUGGCUGGGGGUGAAAGGCCAAUCAAACCGGGAGAUAGCUGGUUCUCCCCGAAAGCUAUUUAGGUAGCGCCUCGUGAAUUCAUCUCCGGGGGUAGAGCACUGUUUCGGCUAGGGGGCCAUCCCGGCUUACCAACCCGAUGCAAACUGCGAAUACCGGAGAAUGUUAUCACGGGAGACACACGGCGGGUGCUAACGUCCGUCGUGAAGAGGGAAACAACCCAGACCGCCAGCUAAGGUCCCAAAGUCAUGGUUAAGUGGGAAACGAUGUGGGAAGGCCCAGACAGCCAGGAUGUUGGCUUAGAAGCAGCCAUCAUUUAAAGAAAGCGUAAUAGCUCACUGGUCGAGUCGGCCUGCGCGGAAGAUGUAACGGGGCUAAACCAUGCACCGAAGCUGCGG
rnacentral:rRNA from 2 species